rnacentral:rRNA from 1 species
GAUGAACGCUGGCGGCGUGCCUAAUACAUGCAAGUCGAGCGAACAGACGAGGAGCUUGCUCCUCUGACGUUAGCGGCGGACGGGUGAGUAACACGUGGAUAACCUACCUAUAAGACUGGGAUAACUUCGGGAAACCGGAGCUAAUACCGGAUAAUAUAUUGAACCGCAUGGUUCAAUAGUGAAAGACGGUUUUGCUGUCACUUAUAGAUGGAUCCGCGCCGCAUUAGCUAGUUGGUAAGGUAACGGCUUACCAAGGCAACGAUGCGUAGCCGACCUGAGAGGGGGGACGGACACAGUGGAGAUGAUCCAGCAACGAGCCACAUGCGGGAGGCAGCAGGAGGGGAUGGUGAGCAAUGGUUGCAAAUCUGAAGGAGCAAUGAAGAGGGAAUAACAAAGGUGUAAGGAUCGAAAAACUCUGUUACUAGGGAAAAACAAAUGUCUAAGGCAAUCUGCGCGUCUGCACCGUAGGUAAUAAGACAGCAACCACUCCCUUCGUC